GAGAUCUCCCAGCUCGUCAUGGUAGAGCACAUUUUAAAUGGGUUCCCCAACGACAAGGCGAUGACGCAUUCGUAUGUCAUCCAUAUCAACUUUCAAUGCCAUUUACUGCGCCUACCAUGGUGACCACGGGUAACGGGGAAUCAGGGUUCGAUUCCUGAGAGGGAGUCUGAGAAACGGCUACCACAUGAAAGCAAGGCAGCAGGCGCGCAAAUGACCCACUCCUGACGCAUGAAGGUA